rnacentral:rRNA from 1 species
UGGGGAAUAUUGGACAAUGGGCGCAAGCCUGAUCCAGCAAUACCGCGUGUGUGAAGAAGGCCUGAGGGUUGUAAAGCACUUUUAAUAGGGAGGAACAUCUGCCGGCCAAUACCCGGUAGUCUGACAUUACCUAUAGAAAAAGCACCGGCUAACUCCGUGCCAGCAGCCGCGGUAAUACGGAGGGUGCAAGCGUUAAUCGGAAUUACUGGGCGUAAAGCGUGCGUAGGCGGUUAAUUAAGUCAGAUGUGAAAGCCCCGGGCUUAACCUGGGAACUGCAUUUGAUACUGGUUAACUAGAGUUUAGUAGAGGAGAGUGGAAUUUCAGGUGUAGCGGUGAAAUGCGUAGAUAUCUGAAGGAACACCAGUGGCGAAGGCGACUCUCUGGACUAAAACUGACGCUGAGGUACGAAAGCGUGGGUAGCAAACAGG